rnacentral:lncRNA from 1 species
AUGCGCGGCGCGAGCGGCCGGGCCCCACAGCCGCAGGUCGUUGGUAAGGCGGGUCCGCGGACCCCAGGUCGAGCCCAGCGGCAGUGCAGGAUCGCAAGCGGCCCGGCACCGGCGCCGCAGGUUACAAAAACCUGAGACUUCCAUUUUGCUGGAAACUUCUUUUCCUCUUGCACACUCACUCUGCGACUCUGUGUGGAGAGCUCCAUGUGACAAGGGAGGUCUGCAGCCUAAGCAACUGAGACCUCAGCCCAACAGCCCUCAAAGAACUGGAUCUUCAAACAACCACAUGAGUGACCUAGAAGCAAAUCUGUCACCAGUGCUCUUGAGACGGAGAAAAGAUCAUGAUCUAAGAGUCUACAAGACCAGAGCAGCCUGAAUUGCUGAGCUGCCUGGUGGAGAAUAGCAGCAUUGGGUGGUUCCCAGGAUUCUUAAAAGGACUUUACAAAGGCCUGGCCUAAUCACUUAAGAGCUCUUAAGGAGUGAAUGGGCUCUUCCUGAAAAAAGAGCUUCUG